AGAUAUAUUUAUUUAUCAUCAUAGAAAGAAAGAAAAAAAAAUUCAAAACCAUCAUCAUCAACAUCAUCAUGACAUAUAUGAACGGAACAAAUGAGCACCUGUUUUCGAGUAAUUUAUUCUUGAUGUUUCAAAUUCGUUCAAAAUGAAUCUAAAUUCCAUUCGAGAAACGAGUUGCAACAAGUGACUAUUGUGCAGACAGUGCUGAUUAAUUUGUUUUCCAACAUCAACAACAACAACAACAUGUAGAUUUAAUUCAAAUUCUCAUCAAUCAAAAAUGAUGAUGACGAUGAUGUUUCAAUCGGAAUGGAAGAUAAAUUCAACACUUAAAUUCUGUGUAAAAAAUAAAAACAAAAGUAAUAAAAAAAAAAUUUCAUCUUGCUUAUCAUUGUUAAAACAAAUCAACAACAACGACAACAACAACAAAAAACAAAUGAAUUUAUUCAAAUGAUAAUAACGAUGAAACAAUGACAAAGGAUGGGCAAAUGAUUAUUAUUAUUAUUAUCAAUCGUUGGUUCCAUCAAUCUGCACUUUGGAGGAGAAGAAGAAGAAGAAAAAAGAAAUUCAAAUCGCCAUACAUACAAACAUGUACAUUUUGUGAAAACAAUUCCAGCAAACAAAAAACUCAUAAAAAAAACAAUCAAUUGAUUCACCUGGAUGCCUCAUUAAUUUUCCAACAUCAUCAUCAUCAUCAUCAUCAUGAUUUUGUGCUGAAAAAGAAUGGAAGAAUUGUCGUUUUGAUUGGUUUUUUUUUCUGGUGGUUGCCUCACUCUAAUUGAUGAUAAUGAUCUCGAUUCUCGUCUAUUGUGGGUUAUUAUUAUCGUUAAAAUGUAUUUUUAAUCUUUAUAUAUUUAUUUUAUUUUUCAUGUUUUCAAUUAAGAUUUUCACUCUAAAUCGCAAUCAAUUUAUGAUUGUAUAUGUAUUACAUACCGUUUAUUGGUGAUUCAUGGCUAGUUUUCUUUUUUGGUUUGAUGGACAAAAAAAAAAAAAAAAAAUUUUUGUUGUCUUGUGUUGAACUUUUAAAUUUUCCAAGUACAGAAAAAAAAUGUCUAUCAAUGUAAUUUCUGUCUGUCUGUCUGCCUACUUUUUUAGCCAUGAUUAACAAUGGAAAUAAUCGGAAGAUUAUCAAUUUUUUUUUUUUUUUUUUGGUUAUCAUCACAUAAGUAAACCAAUAAUAAUAAAAAAAUUCUCCCUCAUUGAUUUAUGCGAUAAAUAUAGAAAUACUUGAAAAUCAAUCGGUAUUUCUACUGUUUUUAAUUUGAUUUUUGAUAUAUAGAGAUGAUUUUAUAAAUCCAAUGAU